rfam:Myotis davidii contig210994, whole genome shotgun sequence.
GGUGGUUCUCGGGUGAUGCACCCUGGAAUUGGUGAUGCUCCCUCUUCUCUGGUUCUGGGUGCAUUACCUGAGAACCGCA